CCUACGGGAGGCAGCAGUGAGGAAUAUUGGUCAAUGGGCGCGAGCCUGAACCAGCCAAGUAGCGUGAAGGAUGACUGCCCUACGGGUUGUAAACUUCUUUUGUCAAGGAAUAAAGUCAGGCACGUGUGCCUUUUUGUAUGUACUUUAUGAAUAAGCAUCGGCUAACUCCGUGCCAGCAGCCGCGGUAAUACGGAGGAUCCGAGCGUUAUCCGGAUUUAUUGGGUUUAAAGGGAGCGUAGAUGGGUUGUUAAGUCAGGUGUGAAAGUUUGCGGCUCAACCGUAACAGUGCAAUUGAUACUGGCAGUCUUGAGUAGAGUUGAGGUAGGCGGAAUGCGUGGUGUAGCGGUGAAAUGCUUAGAUAUCACGAAGAACUCCGAUUGCGAAGGCAGCGUACUAGACUGCCACUGACAUUGAUGCUCGAAAGUGUGGGUAUCAAACAGGAUUAGAUACCCUUGUAGUC
rnacentral:rRNA from 1 species